rnacentral:rRNA from 1 species
GGGUUAGUAGGUUGGUCAUGCCUCUGGUAUGUACUGGUCUCACUGAUUCCUCCUUCCUGAUGAGCCGUAAUGCCAUUAAUUUGGUGUUGCGGGGAAUUUGGACUGUUACUUUGAAAAAAUUAGAGUGUUUAAAGCAAGCUAACGCUUGAAUACAUUAGCAUGGAAUAAUGAAAUAGGACGUUCGAUCCUAUUUUGUUGGUUUCUAGGAUUGACGUAAUGAUUAAUAGGGAUAGUUGGGGGCAUUAGUAUUCAAUUGUCAGAGGUGAAAUUCUUGGAUUUAUUGAAGACUAACUACUGCGAAAGCAUUUGCCAAGGAUGUUUUCAUUAAUCAAGAACGAAAGUUAGGGGAUCGAAGACGAUCAGAUACCGUCGUAGUCUUAACCAUAAACUAUGCCGACUAGGGAUCGGAUGAUGUUAAUUUUUUAAUGACUCAUUCGGCGCCUUACGGGAAACCAAAGUGUUUGGGUUCCGGGGGGAGUAUGGUCGCAAGGCUGAAACUUAAAGGAAUUGACGGAAGGGCACCACCAGGGGUGGAGCCUGCGGCUUAAUUUGACUCAACACGGGGAAACUCACCAGGUCCAGACAUAGUAAGGAUUGACAGAUUGAGAGC